rnacentral:misc_RNA from 1 species
UGUCAAGCAGCAAGGAAAUGGAAGUAGCCAACAUGAAUGGCAUUUAAAUGUCAGCUGUAAAGCAACUCAACUCAUUGUUUACAUUAGUAACCUAAAAACGUGUUUGCGGAUUUUCUGAAAUUCAAUAGAUCUGUCCAAAGAAAUCAUCAUUAACAUAACUCCAAAAUGGAACUUGAUAUUUGGCAGGGGGACUGGGGUCUUCCGUCUGUAGAUCUCACAUGUCUCCAAGUGAUGGCUUAUGCAAAAUUUUCUGGAGCACCUGUCAAAAUAAAGAAAACCAAUUGGCCUUUGCGACAUGGACACCUGCCUGUUUUUAGACAUGGCAAGAAAAAUACUUUUACUACUUAUGAUAAUAUAGUAUCAUAUUUACAACGACAGAAUUACAAUGCUGAUGAAGAAUUAACUCCAAAACAGUGUUCUGACAUAAUAGCAUAUACAGCAUUGCUUCGUGACAAGCUUUACCCAGCUCUGCUGUAUAUAUGGUGGGUAGACAAUCAGAAUUAUUGUGAGCUGACUCGGCCAUGGUAUGCCAAAGUUCUGCAUUUCCCUUUAAAUUACUUCCUUCCAGGCCAUCAACAGCGUGCUGCCCAGAGCACCAUUGACAAUUUGUGGAAUAGUGAUCUCAUCGAAGAGGCACAGAAGGAAACAGCGAUCUAUAAAGACGCACAAGAAUGUCUGAACUUGCUGUCUCACCGGUUGGGUGAUAAUGAAUACUUUUUUGGAAAGAAUCCAUGCUCACUUGAUGCUAUAGUUUUUGGAUAUUUGGCUCCACUUCUAAAAGCUCCAUUUCCAACUGCAGCUUUACAAAAUCAUUUAAAAGCAUGUACAAAUCUUUCUCAAUUUGUUCAAAGGAUUCUUCAAAAAUAUUUUCCUUUGUCACCCGAAGAAAUUGAAGCUUUGAAAAGAAAGGAACAAACAGAAGCUGAAGAAAAACGAGAAUUUCCACAUAAAUGGAGAGAUAUAAUCCUCUCCGGGCUUUUUGCUGCUGCAGUAAUGUUUGCAUAUGCUGCAUCAACUAUGAAGAAUCAAAGUGACCAGCUUUAUUAACUUGUGAUGGUACACCAGCUUCAUUAACUUGUGAUGGUUGAUUUUUCUUUGGCAUUAAUUUAAGAUUUAUAAUUUCAGUCCAUUUGAAAAACAAAUUUGUCAAUUUUUGGUCAUACCAGCCAAAGUAUGGCAAAAUAACAUAAUUUGCUGUUAUGUAUCUUCGGUUUAAAAUUACCUCUUACUUAUGCAUCUGCUGAAAUUUUUUUGAACAUUUCCAAACCUUCCUUCCUGCAGAAUACAGUUAUUGAAAAAUUCAAAACCAGAAGCAUUCUUUCUUAAUUUUCCCCAGCCUUUCCCUAGCUUAUACAUAUGCAUUUCUGUGUAAGAAAAACAUUUUCUUACAUAGAAAUGCAUACGUAUAAGCUAGGGAAAGGCUGUUAACUGUUCUUAUAUCAUUCUUUUGUUCGUCUUCUGUUGUGCAUGAUUACUUCUGCAUGUUUCUUUAUAGUUUUGACUGAGAAUUUUUCUUAAAAUCAAAGAAAUGAAAUCAUUUAUUAUUUAAUGAAAUAGAGAAUGGUUUCAUUUUCAUUGUUUCUUGUUCAGUUUGGUAAUGAAUAAGUAAACCAAAUUAUUGAUUUCAUUCAAAAUAGAAGCAAUUAAAAUAUCUGAAGAAUUGCCAAGCACAUUUAAGAACGUUUUAGCAGAAACAUAUGAAAUUUGUGCAAUAAAUGAAAGUAAAAGGAAUUUUGAUGAAGGAAGGCAUUAUUAUGAUGUCACAUUGUGAUUGCUGAAUUCAUUGUAAAAUAUGAAGCAGAAUACAAAGCAGUGCCACUAUUAUGAGCAGGCGGGCAACAGAGAUUUGUGUGGUAAAUUUCUCCAGGUGUAACAUGAGUUAGUUUCUCUUAGAAUGUCUUCCAUAAAGGUAUCUUUCUUUAGGUAAAUGCUCUCACAUGCUUUGCUGUAAUCAAUUAAUCAAAAUCUGUUGAACUAGUAGGAGCUUUAAUGCAAUGGUUUCAAAUAUAGAUAUAUAUAUAUAUAUUGCCUUUAAUGAGCCUGAUAGCUGUUAAAUACUGAGGAAAAAAAGACUGUGCUUUGAUGGAUUCUGAACAGAUGGUUCUGUUCACAAGAUGGUUGAAUUUAUUUCACUAAAUAUGAAAAGGUUAUUCUCAAAGAAAAACAGAGGUUAGUUAUGCUCGUGAAGAAGAUGAUUACAUUCAAAAUGAUGGACAGGAAUAUUAUGACGAAGGAGAUACUGACGAAAAUAGUUAAUCUUGUGUAUUUUUUAGUUGUAGGUUUAAAAAUAUAAUUUAUUUCAAAGUAAUACGAUGUCAUUUUGUAGUUAGAACAAAAUAAAUGUUUGUAUAAAAAAU